rnacentral:rRNA from 1 species
CCGGCGCACGGGUGCGUAACACGUAUGCAACCUACCUACAAGAGGGGGAUAACCCGGCGAAAGUCGGACUAAUACCGCAUAACACAGGGGUCCCGCAUGGGAAUAUUUGUUAAAGGAGCAAUCCGCUUGUAGAUGGGCAUGCGUUCCAUUAGAUAGUUGGUGAGGUAACGGCUCACCAAGUCUGCGAUGGAUAGGGGUUCUGAGAGGAAGGUCCCCCACACUGGUACUGAGACACGGACCAG